rnacentral:lncRNA from 1 species
AUCCGUCACCUGACACGGCCCUACCAGGAACAGCCGCGCUCCCGCGGAUUCUGGUGCUGCUCGCGUCCCCGCUCCCCUAUUCCCCUUAUUUUAUUCCUGGCUCCCCUCGUCGAAAGUCUUCCAUUCUUCAAACUAGAUUAUUUAAAAAUGAAAAAGGAAGAAAGGAAAGCGAGGUCAUCUCAUUGCUCUAUCCGCCAAUCAGGAGGCUGAAUGUCAGUUUUGAACUAAAAGCCGCUCCGCUCCUCUUCUAGAUUUGGAAAACAAGCGAAAUUAAACUAAACCGCUGCACGCCUCUGACGCGACAUCUGGACACGGCGCGGCGCUGGCGCUGCCGGAGCUGUCGACCCGGCCUGGCGCCGGACUAGUGUCCCUUUUGAUGAGAAGAAUAAGCCUCAUUCUGAUUCAACAGCAGAGAUCAAAGAAAAGACUUCUGUUUUCUGGCCACCAGAUAUAUGUUAUCUGUGCUUAAAGAAUUGAAAAACACACAUCAAAGGAGAAUUUUCUUGGAAAGAGAGGGUUCAAGCAUCACUGUUAGGUGUGCUGGAAUCCUUUCCCGAGUCAGUACUGCUUUCUAGAAGAAAACCGGGGAGAUCUAUUUGGAAUGUAUCUAACUCCAAAGAAACCAUCAGAGGUAACAGGUUAGGAAAUUGAAAUACAGAAAGAUGAAAAGUGAUUUGCCCAAGCAUAUAGAUCAAAGCUGUGGCAGA